GUUUCAUUUCCCUGACAGCAGCCCAUCUGUUUUUCCAGGCUUCUAACAGCCAUCCCUAUGACCUGCUUGUUGCUGAGCUGAAGAAGCUGCCUUAACUGUCCUGCAGGAGGAGGGGUGUAUGUCUCCAUCAUUGCUGGGGAUCCACACUCCAGCUUUCUCCAUUUGCACUCUGCCCAGGAAGUUGAUCUGUGGGGAUGGCAUCAGUGGGUGCUUGUCCAGUUGGGAAUUUCAGAAGGAGAGAGGGAAUGCCUUCCUCCCUGCAAGUGCACUGGAGCUGGCAUGUCUCUCACUGCUCCUCCUAAGAUGGGACACCGAAGGCCAGGAAAGGUGAGAACUUGCCAAAAGACACGUAGCAAACACCAAGGCGGAACUGAGAAGAGAACUCAUCAACACUGGAUUCUUGGGUCAGUAUCUCUCAUCUUAAUCUGACCUUGCUGCAAAUUUUGCCAUAGCUGUAGCCUGUGGCUCUGUAAUCGCGUAAUUCUGUGAUUCUAGCAAGAGGUUGUCGUCUACAGUUAACUCAAUUCAAAGGAAUAUCUGCCUUUUCACCCCAAAACCAUAUCAUCAACCACCUGUGAAGCUUGGAGCCAGCCACUUGGCCUCUCUGCCUCAAGUUUUCUCUUCACCUAUAAAAUAAGAGGAUAGCACUCAAUGUCCACAAAGCCUUCAUCUUCUCUGGACUACAGUGGUUCUACAAAGGCUUCAGUGAUCCAAAAUGCUGCCCCACAGCCUGGAUGGGAGGGGAGUUUGGGGAAGAAUGGAUGCAUGUAUAUGUAUGGCUUAGUCUCUCUGCUGUGCACCUGAGACAAUCACAGCAUUGUUAAUCAGCUACAUUCUAGUAUAAAAUAAAAAGCUACAAAAUAUUCUGCCCCAGCUUUGAUGUGACAACAGGAUUCUCACUAGCCCAACUCCUUUUAUA
ensembl:lncRNA